rnacentral:ncRNA from 1 species
NNNNNNNNNNAGAAGCAAUUCUCUUGUAACAAACUUGGCUAUAUGCUGGAAAACCCGCGCAUGCAGAAGUACUUAAGUACUGUACAGUACUUAAGUGACAAUCUUCUGCCGAUGCGGACAAUCAGCAGGCAACCUAUAAGUUCAAUAGACCAGUCUAUCGAAUUCAUAGAGAGUCCCCAGAGACUAUACGCCGAGCCCCCAAGUUUUGGGGUGAUGAUAUAGUCCAUGCCUUAUGGCGACAUAGGG